rnacentral:lncRNA from 13 species
CAGACACAAAAUUAGCUGUGUUUUAAAAGAAAUUAACCCUCGGCUUUGGCAGCUGUUGCAAAUCCUAAGGGAAACUUACACUUCAAACCAAUUUAUGACAAUCAUCUUUAUUAGCUUUAAAAAAUAAAAAUAAAUGUAUCGAUCAAACCAUUUAGUCUAUACACCCCCACACGCAUUCAGCAAACAGUGACUGACCUUGAGCUGUCAGUGAGUGGAAGACUGGAGUGUUUCUCCGACGAGCCCCCCACUGUGCAACUCCUCCAGGAGGGCGUGUUUGUGUUCGUGUGUGAACUCCCUCUAGCCUUCACUCCAACACUCAGCAAUACUGUAUCCUUCAGCAUGAAGCCAGUCUGCUCUUCUAAUCUGUGCUGUUUCACUAAGGAUGGUGUACAAUACAUUUUCAUUUACUCCAACACAAAGCAGUGAUUUACUCCCACACAAAGCAGUGAUUUACUCCCACACAAAGCAGUGAUUUACUCCCACACAAAGCAGUGAUUUACUCCCACACAAAGCAGUGAAAGCCAUUGUUGUAUAACCAAGUUCUGAUGCACAAAGACAAGUUAAAAAUGACGUGUCGACUGCAGACACAAAGUAAAUGGGAAAUGUUUUCUCUCUUUCAGUAGUUCUUUGAAUGUUUUUACUAACUUACGGACGUGUCUCUGAUCACAAACAGGAAACGCGAUGCGUUUCUGACAGGAACCUGGAAACAGGAAAUAUAUCAACACUGGUGUGUGCAUAAUGAUGUUUCAGGGAGACGAAUUUGGGACGUAACAUCCAAAGUUCAUGUGGUGGUCAGACAGCUGACAUGGGAGUGGGCUUGAAGAUGAGGACCGAGUGCACAGCAAACACCUGUCAUACAGUACAUCAAGAUGCAGUGUAUAGCUACCCACAACUGUAAAACAAUCCAAAUGCCUGUCUUUCUUUUAAAUGUCGUAACAAAUUGUAGUGCUGAAUUAUACCGACUGAAUGUGAGGUGAUUCAUUAUUUUUCUAAUUUUACCUCCCUGUUUUCUCUACAAUUUUGAUAUUAUCCUUGUCCUCCGAAACAUGACCCACCUAACCGC